ACGAACGCUGGCGGCGUGCUUCACACAUGCAAGUCGAACGGAAAGGCCUGCUUUCCCUUGUGGAUUGCGGGUACUCGAGUGGCGAACGGGUGAGUAACACGUGAGUGAUCUGCCCCCAACUUGGGUAUAAGCCUGGGAAACUGGGUCUAAUUCCCGAUAGGACUGCAGGGUGGUGCCUGUGGUGGAAAACGAUUUUCUAGUGGUUGGGGAUGAGCUCGCGGCCUAUCAGCUUGUUGGUGGGGUAAUGGCCUACCAAGGCGGCGACGGGUAGCCGGCCUGAGAGGGUGGACGGCCACAUUGGGACUGAGAUACGGCCCAGACUCCUACGGGAGGCAGCAGUGGGGAAGAUUGCACAAUGGGCGGAAGCCUGAUGCAGCGACGCCGCGUGGGGGAUGACGGCCUUCGGGUUGUAAACUCCUUUCGACCGCGAGGAAGCCACCUGGUUGGAAGGGUGGUGACGGUAGUGGUAGAAGAAGCACCGGCUAACUACGUG
rnacentral:rRNA from 1 species